AAUACAUCAGUUCUCCAGAAAGGCAUAUUGUCUUUCAGGGCUUCGCCAUUUCAGCUUCUUGAACUCUCAUCUUGGGCAAAAGGACUCGGCCAAAAUAUGAAGAUCUUUGUCUUUACCUUUAUCGUGGCUCUCAUGGUUGCCAUGAUUAGUGCUGAUUCUUCUUCAUCUGAAGAGAAACGUUACCGUAGAAACAGAUUCGAUGGAGGGUAUUAUCCAUACCCACAGUAUCCACAGUAUCAACCCAAUUAUCCAUAUCCAUAUCCAUAUCCAUAUCCGUAUCCCUAUGCAAGAAAGUAAUGAUCACAGGACAGAUGACUGAGGCUUGGUGAGAAGUCUUCUUUGCUCUCUUCUUAUGAUGAUUUUUCUUACUCAAAAACCCUUUGACACAUCUAGCAACAUAUUGACCUGCUUACAAUAAAUACA